CAAUUUAUUGUGAGAAUAAUGUCCGCCUCUUUGAGUGGACCUGCUCGUGGACUGGAAUUGUGCUACUGCCACAAACAAUUUUUAAACAUUUUUGAAAGUGUGGGCUGAAACACCU
rnacentral:lncRNA from 1 species